AAGACCUUAACCAUUCCAAUCACUUACAAUUGUCAUCUCUCCCUGGUGUCCUAGUGGUGACUGACACCGGCUCGAACCACAGGUUUAUUUAGCAGUUAAGAAAACAGCUGUUUGCCCGCUUAAGGCAUUAAGCCAUCACUUAACCUUCUCGCGGUGUCGUCAUUGUUCUUUUGACAGUUCACGUGACGAAGAAAGUUUUUUUAAAAGUAACUAAAAAGUUCCUUAAAACAAAACAAAACAAAAAACGUAAAGACCGAGCUUGACGUUUCAAUCAACAUAGUCUUCCAACAAGAAAACACAGCAUCAGAGCAAAAUGGCUGUCCGGCCACAUCUGUACCAGCUGUUUUACGAGAGGCCUUCAGACGCUCAAACCAGCAAGAGGGCUUUGGUUGCAGCCUUUUGGCAAAGACUCUUCCCCGGAAGGAACUUUGGUCAGAACCAUACGCUGGACCAAAUCUUUGUCAACAUGUCCCACUGCCCAAUACUGGCAACUCUGCCCCUCGGCCACUACUACUUUGACCUGGUGGCUCAACGGCUUCCUACCAGAGACCAAGUGAAACACAGAGAGAGCUGCAACCUGCGGCUGCACUGUUUCGACUCAUGGGUGGACUUAAAACAAGAGAGGAAGAGAGCCGCGGAGCGGCGGGGAGGACGGGGCGUAGCCACCCGCCUGGGUGAACUCUGUCAACGCCAAAUGCCACACGCCAACAGGAGCAUGUCCACAGCGGAGUACAUUUUCCUCAUGUACGGCCACCGCUACUAACCAACCAGCCCUUAAUACA